CCCAUAUCCCCCUCCCCACAGCCCCACGUCCCCUCCCCACGUCCCCAUAUCCCCCGACACCCCCCAGCCCCCCUAUGGCCCCCCACUCACGGGCCAACACGAGCUGCUGNNNNNNNNNNNNNNNNNNNNNNNNNNNNNNNNNNNNNNNNNNNNNNNNNNNNNNNNNNNNNNNNNNNNNNNNNNNNNNNNNNNNNNNNNNNNNNNNNNNNGGUUGCUUUAAGCCCCUGCUGAUCUCUGUGCCCCCCUUUGGAUGGCAGCAGCCCCUUUACCCCCCUGCAUCCCUCCAUGGAUGCCCCCCACGACCCCCUGCUGAUCUCUGUGCCCCCCCGUUUGGAUGGCAGCAGCCCCUUUACCCCCCUGCAUCCCACCAUGGAACCCCAGGGGUUGCUUUAAGCCCCCCCCCAUUUCGACCCCGUACUGAUCCGUGUCCCCCCCACCCCCCCCCAGGACCUGCAGGCUCAGGACCGCGCUCACCGCAUCGGGCAGCAGAACGAGGUCCGCGUGCUGCGCCUCUGCACCGUCAACAGCGUGGAGGAGAAGAUCCUGGCGGCCGCCAAAUACAAACUGAACGUGGACCAGAAGGUGAUCCAGGCCGGCAUGUCGACCAGAAGUCGUCGAGCCACGAGCGGCGCGCCUUCCUGCAGGCCAUCCAUCCGUGGGGUCCCAUGGAGGGAUGCAGGGGGGUAAAGGGGCUGCUGCCAUCCAAAGGGGGGGCACAGAGAUCAGCAGGGGGUCGGAAAAGGGGGUUGGGGGGGCCUUAAAGCAACCCCUGGGGUCCCAUGGAGGGAUGCAGGGGGGUAAAGGGGCUGCUGCCACCCAAAGGGGGGCACAGAGAUCAGCAGGGGUCAGAAAAGGCGGGGGGAGGGGGCUUAAAGCAACCCCUGGGGUCCCACAGAGGGAUGUAAGGCAAUGAAUGGGCUGCUGCCAUCCAAAGGGGGGGCAAAGAGAUCAGCAGGGGGUCAGAAAGGGGUUGGGGGGGCUUAAAGCAACCCCUGAGGUCCCAUGGAGGGAUGCAACGCAAUGAAGGGGCUGCUGCCACCCAAAGGGGGGGCACAGAGAUCAGCAGGGGGUCGGAAAAGGGGGGGGGGGUUCUUAAAGCAACCCCUGGAGUCCCAUGGAGGGAUGCAGGGGGGUAAAGGGGCUGCUGCCACCCAAAGGGGGGGCACAGAGAUCAGCAGGGGGUCGUGGGGGGUCCUUAAAGUAACCCCUGGGGUCCCAUGGAGGGAUGCAGGGGGAUGAAGGGGCUGCUGCCAUCCAAAGGGGGGCACAGAGAUCAGCAGGGGGUCGUGGAGGGGGGUCUUAAAGCAACCCCUGAGGUCCCUUGAAGGGAUGUAAGGCAAUGAAUGGGCUGCUGCCACCCAAAGGGGGGGCACAGAGAUCAGCAGGGGGUCAGAAAAGGGGGGGGUCCUUAAAGCAACCCCUGGGGUCCCAUGGAGGGAUGUAAGGCAAUGAAUGGGCUGUGCCAUCCAAAGGGGGGCACAGAGAUCAGCAGGGGUCAUGGGGGGCAUCCACAGAGGAUGCAGGGGUAAAGGGGCUGCUGCCAUCCAAAGGGGGGCACAGAGAUCAGCAGGGGGUCAGAAAGGGGUCGGAAGGGGGCCUUAAAGCAACCCCUGGGGUCCCUUAAAGGGAUGUAAGGCAAUGAAUGGGCUGCUGCCCAUCCAAAGGGGGGCACAGCAAUCAGAAAGGGGUCAUGGGGGGGUCCUUAAAGCCCCUCUUUGGGGUUCCAUGGAGGGAUGCAAAGCAACGAAUGGCCACCACCCAAAGGGGGGGGCACAGUGAUCAGCAGGGGGUCGGAAGGGGGUGGGGGGGCCUUAAAGCAACCCCUGGGGUCCCAUGGAGGGAUGCAGGGGGGUAAAGGAGCUGCUGCCAUCUAAAGGGGGGCACAGAGAUCACCAGGGGGUUGUGGGGGCAUCCAUGGAGGGAUGCAGGGGGUAAAAGGGGCUGCUGCCAUCCAAAGGGGGGGGGGGGCAAAGUCAUCAGCAGAGGGUCGGAAAGGGGGGGGGGGGCCUGAAAGCCCCCCCUGGGGUUCCAUGGAGGGCUGCAGGGGGAUGAAUGGGCUGCUGCCAUCCAAAGGGGGGGCACAGCAAUAAGCAGACAGUCAUGGGGUGUGGGGGGGUCCUUAAAGCCCCCCCUGGGGUCCCAUGGAGGGUGUGUCCCAUGGGGUAAAGGGGGUGCUGCCAUCCAAAGGGGGGGGUGAGGGGGGGUGAGGGUGAGCGUGGGGUGGGUGCAGAGCUGCAGGGGGAGAGGGGUGGCAGAGACCCCCAGCAUGGGGUCAUUAGGCAUAACGAGCUCAUUAACAGCACUGAGGGGGGGCUCUGAGCUCUCCUCCAUCAUUAGAAAUGGGGUCCGGGCUUCCCUUCAGCCCCCCCAAUGGAAACAGGGCCGGGGGGUGACCCCAAGGUGGGCACAGCACCCAAAAGAAAAGGGGUCUGGGACCCCCAGCGUGGGGUCAUUAGGCAUAAUGAGCUCAUUAAGCACUGAGUGGGGCUCUGAGCUCCCCUCCAUCAUUCCAAAUGGGCUCUGGGCUCUCUUCCAUCAUUAGCUAUGGGGUCCGGGCUUCCCUUCAGCCCCCCAUAAUGGAAGCAGGGCCGGGGGGUGACCCCAAGGUGGGCACAGCACCCAAAACAAAAGGGGUCUGGGACCCCCAGCGUGGGGUCAUUAGGCAUAACGAGCUCAUUAACAACACUGAGGGGGCUCUGGGCACUCUUCCAUCAUCGGAAAUGGGGUCCGGGUUUCCCUUCAGCCCCCCAUAAUGGAAGCAGGGCCGGGGGGUGACCCCAAGGUGGGCAUAGAGCCCAGAAGAGCAGUGGGUGGGACCCCCAGUGUGGGCUCAUUAGGCAUAAUGAGCUCAAUUAAGCACUGAGUGGGGCUCUGAGCUCUCCUCCAUCAUUAGAAAUGGGGUCCGGGCUUCCCUUCAGCCCCCCAUAAUGGAAGCAGGGCCGGGGGGUGACCCCAAGGUGGGCACAGCACCCAAAAGAAAAGGGGUCCGGGACCCCCAGCGUGGGGUCAUUAGGCAUAACGAGCUCAUUAAGCACUGAGUGGGGCUCUGAGCUCUCCUCCAUCAUUAGAAAUGGGGUCCGGGCUUCCCUUCAGCCCCCCAUAAUGGAAGCAGGGCCGGGGGGUGACCCCAAGGUGGGCA
rnacentral:lncRNA from 7 species